GACGAACGCUGGCGGCGUGCCUAACACAUGCAAGUCGAACGGAGUGUUUCGCUGAAUUUGAUAAUAGCUUGCUAGAGGAUAAUUCUUGAAACACUUAGUGGCGGACGGGUGAGUAACGCGUGAGCAACCUGCCUUACAGAGGGGGACAACAGUUGGAAACGACUGCUAAUACCGCAUAACAUACUUUAGAGACAUCUCUUUAGUAUCAAAGGAGCAAUCCGCUGUAAGAUGGGCUCGCGUCCGAUUAGAUAGUUGGUGAGGUAACGGCUCACCAAGUCUGCGAUCGGUAGCCGGACUGAGAGGUCGAUCGGCCACAUUGGGACUGAGACACAGCCCAGACUCCUACGGGAGGCAGCAGUGGGGGAUAUUGCACAAUGGGGGAAACCCUGAUGCAGCAACGCCGCGUGAAGGAAGAAGGUCUUCGGAUUGUAAACUUCUGUUUUUAGUGUAAGAAUAAAUUGACGGUAGCUAAAGAGGAAG
rnacentral:rRNA from 1 species